AGAGUUUGAUCCUGGCUCAGGACGAACGCUGGCGGCGCGCCUAACACAUGCAAGUCGAACGGAGUUAUUUUCUUCACUCCGAGCUUUUUGCCAGCUAGCCGGAGCGGCAAUCGGUUUUGCCCAGCAUAAAAAGCAAAACCGAUUUAGGCUCAUAAAGUAAGACUAACACAGAGGGCAGAGAGUUGGGAGUGAAGAAAAUAACUUAGUGGCGAACGGGUGAGUAACGCGUGAGUAACCUGCCCUGGAGUGGGGGACAACAGUUGGAAACGACUGCUAAUACCGCAUAAGCCCACGGCCCGGCAUCGGGCUGAGGGAAAAGGAUUUAUUCGCUUCAGGAUGGACUCGCGUCCAAUUAGCUAGUUGGUGAGGUAACGGCCCACCAAGGCGACGAUUGGUAGCCGGACUGAGAGGUUGAACGGCCACAUUGGGACUGAGACACGGCCCAGACUCCUACGGGAGGCAGCAGUGGGGGAUAUUGCACAAUGGGGGAAACCCUGAUGCAGCGACGCCGCGUGGAGGAAGAAGGUUUUCGGAUUGUAAACUCCUGUCGUUAGGGACGACAAUGACGGUACCUAACAAGAAAGCACCGGCUAACUACGUGCCAGCAGCCGCGGUAAAACGUAGGGUGCAAGCGUUGUCCGGAAUUACUGGGUGUAAAGGGAGCGCAGGCGGACCGGCAAGUUGGAAGUGAAAACUAUGGGCUCAACCCAUAAAUUGCUUUCAAAACUGCUGGCCUUGAGUAGUGCAGAGGUAGGUGGAAUUCCCGGUGUAGCGGUGGAAUGCGUAGAUAUCGGGAGGAACACCAGUGGCGAAGGCGACCUACUGGGCACCAACUGACGCUGAGGCUCGAAAGCAUGGGUAGCAAACAGGAUUAGAUACCCUGGUAGUCCAUGCCGUAAACGAUGAUUACUAGGUGUUGGAGGAUUGACCCCUUCAGUGCCGCAGUU
rnacentral:rRNA from 1 species